rnacentral:rRNA from 1 species
AGUGAACGCUGGCGGUAGGCCUAACACAUGCAAGUCGAACGGCAGCACAGUAAGAGCUUGCUCUUACGGGUGGCGAGUGGCGGACGGGUGAGGAAUACAUCGGAAUCUACUUUUUCGUGGGGGAUAACGUAGGGAAACUUACGCUAAUACCGCAUACGACCUACGGGUGAAAGCAGGGGAUCUUCGGACCUUGCGCGAUUGAAUGAGCCGAUGUCGGAUUAGCUAGUUGGCGGGGUAAAGGCCCACCAAGGCGACGAUCCGUAGCUGGUCUGAGAGGAUGAUCAGCCACACUGGAACUGAGACACGGUCCAGACUCCUACGGGAGGCAGCAGUGGGGAAUAUUGGACAAUGGGCGCAGGCCUGGUCCAGCCAUACCGCGUGGGUGAAGAAGGCCUUCGGGUUGUAAAGCCCUUUUGUUGGGAAAGAAAAGCAGCAGGUUAAUACCCCGCUGUUCUGACGGUACCCAAAGAAUAAGCACCGGCUAACUUCGUG